GAAUUGAUCGUGUCAGGAUGAACGCUAGCGGCAGGCUUAACACAUGCAAGUCGAGGGGCAGCGCGAGUAGCAAUACUUGGCGGCGACCGGCGCAAGGGUGCGUAACGCGUGAGCAACAUGCCCGUAUCAGGGGGAUAAUCCAGGGAAACUUGGUCUAAUACCCCAUAGUAAUUUUGUAAGGCAUCUUAUAAGAUUUAAAGCUUUGGUGGAUACGGAUUGGCUCGCGUGACAUUAGCUGGAUGGUAAGGUAACGGCUUACCAUGGCUAUGAUGUCUAGGGGUUCUGAGAGGAAGGUCCCCCACACUGGAACUGAGACACGGUCCAGACUCCUACGGGAGGCAGCAGUGAGGAAUAUUGGACAAUGGAUGGAAAUCUGAUCCAGCCAUGCCGCCGUGAAGGAAGAAGGUCCUAUGGAUUGUAAACUUCUUUUGUAUGGGAGCAAUAAGGCCUACGAGUAGGUUGAUGAGAGUACCAUACGAAUAAGCACCGGCUAACUCCGUGCCAGCCGCCGC
rnacentral:rRNA from 1 species